UAUCUCUGUAGAGUCUGCAUAUCAAUAAGCGGAGGAAAAGAAACUAACUAGGAUUCCCUCAGUAACGGCGAGUGAAGCGGGGAAGAGCUCAAAUUUGAAAUCUUCAAGGUUCUACCUUGACGAAUUGUAGUUUAAAGAAGUGUUUUCUGUUGGUGUUUUGGUAAAAGUUCUUUGGAAUAGGACAUCAUAGAGGGUGAGAAUCCCGUAUUUGACCAUUAUUUCCAGCUUUGUGAUACACUUUCAAAGAGUCGGAUUGUUUGGGAAUGCAGUCCAAAAUGGGUGGUAUAUUUCAUCUAAAGCUAAAUAUUGGCGAGAGACCGAUAGCGAACAAGUACCGUGAGGGAAAGAUGAAAAGAACUUUGAAAAGAGAGUUAAACAGUACGUGAAAUUGUCAAAAGGGAAGCGUUUUGACACCAGUGUUGUUUUCUCGAAAAUCAAUUAAAAAAGGCAGGAUUUUGUGUUGUAUUGACUUUAUCAGCUUUCUGCACUCUUUUCUUGUCUUUUUUAAUGCACUUUUCGUUUAACAAGUCAACAUCAAUUUCUUUUGUUGUAAAAGGGUCAUUGGAAGGUGGCUUUCUUUUCGGAGAAAGUGUUUAUAGCCUUUGGCCUCUGCAAUCGGAGAGAUUGAGGUCUGCAGCGUAGAUCCUUCGGGGUUAGAUACAUUUGUGCUAAGUUAUAGCCUUUCAUAGACAACUUGUUGACUAUGAUCAGUCAUGUAGCUUACUCGCUUAUGCUAUUUUACCUACGCUUAGGAUGUUGACGAUCAGCUGAGCGCG
rnacentral:rRNA from 1 species